AAACAAUGGUAGGCAGCUAGUUUCAAUGGAAUUAAUAAUUUUUUUAAAAAACAAUAGAAUUCAACUUGUGACUAGUCGACCCUACCAUCUCCA